UACGAGAGGCCCAAACGUUAUUCGGAAUUACUGGGCUUAAAGAGUUCGUAGGCGGCAUUGCAAGUAGGGUGUGAAAGCCCUCGGCUCAACCGAGGAAUUGCGCUCUAAGCUGCAGUGCUUGAGGAACCUAGAGGUGAGCAGAACAGAUGGUGGAGCGGUGAAAUGCGUUGAUAUCAUCUGGAAUACCGGAGGCGAAGGCGGCUCACUGGGAGUUUUCUGACGCUGAGGAACGAAAGCCAGGGUAGCGAACGGG
rnacentral:rRNA from 1 species